UCAAGAUGAGCUCUUUAGAUGACGAGUCUGAAAUGCUGCGAACGAGUUUCUCCGACGCAGCAGUCCUUGAUGAUUUCUACAAAUUAUUACCAUUCAUGCAUUUCUGAAC
rnacentral:snoRNA from 1 species